GUAGCAGAGGGCAGAGGGCGGCGUGCGGCCCUGCAUUGCAUCAAAUCAGCUGCCCCAUCACGGCCAUGCCCACGCCCGUCAUUCUGGGCCAAGGAGAACCUCGGGUGGCAGGCAGCACAGCGGGGGAGGCGGCGGUGCCAGGCCAGGAGGAAUUUGGCGAUGACAUUUACCGUCUGGCGAGGGAGCAGCUGUGGGUGGUGGCAGCAACUCAUCGAGCGGCGUGGAGGAGGGAGCCGCCAGGGUGGACCACGCCUACAGCCUGCACGUCACCGCCCGCCAUGCACUAAGGGCUGUGGGCGUGCAUGACCGCCAACCAAAGACUCAGCCCAGAGGAAGAGCCAGGCCAGCACCACCACAGGGACAGAGGACGAUGAGGAGAGUGUUCCAACGCUGCUCCAACUCAAGGUUCAUAGGCCACACGCUGAGCCCUGCCAAGAUGUCCUGCCAGGUGGUCGGCCUCCACCCCUACACCUCCCACUGGUUCCUCCUGCUGCCCCACUACAAGGAUGUGCCAAGUAUGCCCUCCAGCCUGCAGUCCUUGGAUGAUGGAGUGAGGUGUGGGUGCAGUAAGGUGACAGGUUACUGGUGCGUGCCUAGUACCGCCGGUAAAACGAGGAUCAAGCCUCCACCUCACCCAUCACCCUCCGCGUGCCGUGGAUUAAGGCCAACCUUAACGUGUGCAUAUCUGGUGAGCUCUGGGACCACCCUGCCCUCCCUCACCCACAGGGAUGAGCUUAUCAAGGAGUGGGCGAAACCCUCCACACUCUGACCUGUGUGUUGGCCCGCCAUGUGUACGCCCUCGGCCUCAGCAGUCUGCCGCUGGAGCGCAUCGGUGAACGGCGACUCGUCAGGAGGGGCUUCACCAAGCGCUCCGGCCUGGAUGUUAGUGCUGAGUGUUGCCUCCCAGAUAGUGAAGUCGCAAUCACCUAAGAUGGAAGCCUUGGGUCUGCCUGGGUCCCUGCUGCCGCUGUGGUCACUCUCCCGCCCCUGCCCGUGCUGCAGCCCUCAGCCCUGACCUCACCCUCAUGAACUGCUCUGACGUGAAGGAUCACUUGGUCAACAUGCUGCUGAAUAGUGGAAAGUGUGACGGUGGUGGCGGACAAGAUCGCUGGCCCUUUCCACCUUGGCCAUCCACCUCUACCACGAGUUGGCCCACCAAACACUCCACACCAAGGUUAACAAGGCCAUCAAUGUGCUCCAGGCAUACCUCAAGGAUGUCGGGUUCCAACCUGUAAGGAAUGGAGCCAAACUGAAGCAGGCAACCAAGGAUUUACUGACCCCCACUACCUUCAAUAGGUUCCAGGUGCUGGCAGACACCAUGGAGGAUGAGUUCGAGACUCGCCUAGUUGGGGACUCCAUGAGCCCAUCCAGCGCUGGGCCCGGCCACUGCAAGCCUUGUUGGGUCAAUGUGUGGGAAAUCAGCCAAGGUGGAGUUUGAGUCGGUCGGCCUCAACCAUGAGGGCUGUGUGAGCGGCAGGCUGGCCGUGAGCCUUCCUGGGAGUGCUGGGCGGCCUGGUGCCCCGGCUGAAGGCAAGCGGCCUCCCUGAGACACCCAAAGACUGGCUGACACAAGAUCUUGUGCUGGUACUGGUGUCUGAAGGCUGUGCAGUGGUGCGGACACAGGCUCAGAGUGCCCAGGUGGACCAAGAUGCUGGUUGCCGCCUGCCUGGGAGCAGACUCACAGAGGUCAGCGCGGGGCAGCAGGACAGCGCCCUCAGCAGUGACGAUGAGUCUCUCCAUGAAGGCUGCACAGCAGCAGGCCACCGUCGCCCGAGAGCAUCCUGAGGAACACUUCAAUGUCCAGGUGUGAGGAUGUCAAGCCACCACAAGCCAGGAGGGAAGUGGCUGCUGGGGCCAAGACAGCAGGUGAAGCAGAACCCUUAAGCCUCAGGUCUUCACCCCUGGACGAAGGAGGUGUUUCUUGGCGGCCAAACUCGGGAGACUCACCAGAAAAGACCUUGGUAGAUGAUGCAAGUUUUGCUCGCUGGAGACCACAAGAGUAUUCACCCGUGCCUCAUAUUGUGGGUGAGGAGAGCAGCCUGCACCAUCUCCCAAGAGGUAUGUUUAACAGUGAGGCAUGCACACAGGCAGGAAGCAGCACUACAGUCACCAGGAGACAUUUUACAUAAAACUGGCUACAAAAUACUGCUGCUGGCCAGAAUGGAGAUCAGGUUCAGCAGGAUCCCAGCAAGGUGCUCUCUUUACUUCUUUGUGUGAUUUUGAAAACACUUCAGCAGCCAAGGGAACGCUCAAGAGAAAGUGUCAUAUCUAUGCAAACCUUCCUGCAGGGGUGAGCUGAAAGGUGAAAAAUGUAGUUACCACGACUCCUUGGAGAAGAGAGACACCAUUAGUAGUUUGGUUGGUGAGAAAAGCUUCACCAGUCAUGCUGCUUGUACAGGGGAGAAGACUUCAGUGUUGUCCUCCAGGCCUCUUUGCAGCGGGUACUCUAGAUCAAGCAGCAGACCAAGUGUCUUGCAUGUGUGUGUGUGUGUGUGUGUGUGUGUGUGUGUGUGUGUGUGUGUGUGUGUGUGUGUGUGUGUGUGUGUGUGUGUGUGUGUGUGUGUGUGUGUGUGUGUGUGUGUGUGUGUGUGUGUGUGUGUGUGUGUGUGUAUUUACCUAGUUGUGAAAUACCGUACUAGGCUCGUGCUGUCCCAUCUCCAUAAUGCUUAUUAUCCAGUUUGGCUUUAAAUUCAUGAAUCGUUUUUGCACACACAGUCUCCUUGUCAGUCCGUUCCAUGUUGUUAUACUUCUGUAUGGAAAACUGUAUUUCUUGUCAUUUCUUAUCACUGCCUCUUGUCACACUUCUGUCACGUACCACUAGGUCUUCCCUGUCCAAUUUCUCCAAUCCCUCUUGUAUCCUGUACAAUGCUAUUAGGUCCCCUCUCUCUUCUUCUCUCUAGUUUUGUUAGUCCCAAUUUCUCCAGUCUUUCUUCAUAGGUAUGUUCUCUCAGAGUUUCCGGUAAUUUAGUCGCUGCUCUUUGUACUCUUUCCAACUUUCUAAUUUCUGUCUUCAACAUAGGUGACCACACUAAUGCUGCAUAUUCCAGUCUUGGACGUAUCAUCGAUGUUAUUAGUUUCUUUACCAUUUCUUCAUCUAAAUAUAUUAAUGCUGCUUUUAUGUUUCUAAGAGGAUUGUAUGUUUCCCCAGUUAUCCGGUCUAUAUGUUUUCCAAAGGAUAACUUGUCUGUUAUGAUCACUCCCAAAUCUUUUUCUUCAGUUUUUUUUCAUGAUUCUUUCAUUACUCAGAGAGUAGUUCCCCGAUAUUCAUCUACUGCUCUUACCAAACUCCAUUACGCUACACUUCUCUGUAUUGAAUGUCAUUUCCCAUUUGCAUGACCAUUCGCUUAUUAUAUCAAGAUCUUGGCUCAGGGCUACACAGUCUUCUUCAUUAUUUCAGCAUCAUCAGCAAACAUAUUCAUAUAGCUUGUCGCCCCUUCUGUUAUGUCAUUAAUAUAUAUUACAAACAUAAUCGGAGCCAACACCGAUCCUUGGGGGACUCCACUGGUCACUUCCAUCCAGCUUGAUUUAUUAUUCCUAAUUACUGUUCUCAUUUCUCUCUUCGUCAAAAAGUCCACAAUCCAAUCCAAUAUUGAACCACCCACACCUCCAACAUGAUUAAGUUUCCAUAUUAAUCGCUUGUGUGGUACUUUAUCACAUGCCUUCUUUAAGUCCAGAUACACACAAUCUGCCCAACCGUCCCUUUCCUGUAUUAUAUCAAUUACUCUUGAAUAGAAGCUGAUCAGAUUACUUACACAAGACCGUUCUCCUCUGAAUCCAAAUUGGCUAUUUGUUAAUGUACUGUUUUCUUCUAAAUACUCCACCCAUCUGUUUUUUAUAAUUUUCACACACAUCUUUGCUACUACACUUGUUAAUGACACUGGCCUAUAGUUCAACGGGUCUUCCUUACUUCCUCCUUUAUGUAUUGGGACGAUGUUAGCCCUCUUCCAGUCUCUCGGUACCUUCCCUUGUGCUUGUGAAACAUUAAUCAAGUUGCUCAACUUUUCAGCUAUUUGCUGGUUACACUCUUUUAGCACCCAAUUUGAUAUACCAUCCGGUCCUGCUGAUUUCCUCGCAUCCAAUUCUUCCAAUAAUUUUAUAACUUCAUCUGCUGAUGUUUGUAUUCUCUCCAGACCCAUGCACUCUAUUCCCCGGCACUGCAUCUACACCUUCAAACUCACUCUCCUUUGUGAACACUGUUUGCAAACAAUUAUUCAUCACUUCUACUAUUUCACUUAUACUAUCAAAAGUUUCACCACUAACUUUAACUUUCUGAAUCUCAUCUCUAUUUUAUCAACUUUCCAUUUAUGAACUUAUAAAGCAGUUUUGGCUGGUCUACAAUAUUUUUCUCAAAAUUCCUUUUUUCUUCUCUUCUUACUUUGACAUAAGCACUCCUCUUCCUCUUGUACUCAUUCCAUAGAUCCAUCCUCCUAUUUUUCUCCAUUUGUUCCAUGCCUUCUCCUUAUCCUGCUUGGCGUCAACACACUUUCUAUUGUACCACUCUUCUCUUGAUGUCUGGCCUUCUUUCAUCCUUGGUACCCACUUUUCCACUCCUUCGUUGUAAAUCCGUAGAAAGAUAGCCCAUUUUUCCUCCACAUUUUCAGCCUCAAAAAAAGUAUCCCAUUGUGCUUCCUCAAAAUGUUUCCCAAGUUGUUAAAAAUUUGCCUUAUUAAAGUUAAACCAUUCUUUCCUGCAGUCCUCA